UACGGAGGGGCUAGCGUUGUUCGGAAUCAUUGGGCGUAAAGGGCGCGUAGGCGGUCCGUCACGUCGGGAGUGAAAACUCGGAGCUCAACUCCGAGCCUGCUUCCGAUACGGGCAGACUAGAGGUAGGCAGGGGAGAGCGGAAUUCCUGGUGUAGCGGUGAAAUGCGCAGAUAUCAGGAAGAACACCCGUGGCGAAGGCGGCUCUCUGGGACGGUACUGA
rnacentral:rRNA from 1 species